rnacentral:rRNA from 1 species
AACGAACGCUGGCGGCAUGCCUAACACAUGCAAGUCGAACGAGACCUUCGGGUCUAGUGGCGCACGGGUGCGUAACGCGUGGGAACCUGCCCUUAGGUUCGGAAUAACUCCCCGAAAGGGGUGCUAAUACCGGAUAAUGUCUUCGGACCAAAGAUUUAUCGCCUUUGGAUGGGCCCGCGUUGGAUUAGCUAGUUGGUAGGGUAAAAGCCUACCAAGGCGACGAUCCAUAGCUGGUCUGAGAGGAUGAUCAGCCACACUGGGACUGAGACACGGCCCAGACUCCUACGGGAGGCAGCAGUGGGGAAUAUUUGGACAAUGGGCGAAAGCCUGAUCCAGCAAUGCCGCGUGAGUGAUGAAGGCCUUAGGGUUGUAAAGCUCUUUUACCCGGGAUGAUAAUGACAGUACCGGGAGAAUAAGCUCCGGCUAACUCCGUG